rnacentral:rRNA from 1 species
ACGGAAGGCAGCAGUGAGGAAUAUUGGUCAAUGGGCGGAAGCCUGAACCAGCCAAGUCGCGUGAGGGAAGACGGCCCUACGGGUUGUAAACCUCUUUUGCGCGGGGGAAAGUCGGGGACGGGUCCCCGAUUGCAAGUACCGCGCGAAUAAGGAUCGGCUAACUCCGUGCCAGCAGCCGCGGUAAUACGGAGGAUCCGAGUGUUAUCCGGAUUUAUUGGGUUUAAAGGGUGCGUAGGCGGGACGACAAGUCAGUUGUGAAAUGGUGGGGCUCAACCGUAGCAUCGCCGUUGAAACUGGGGUUCUUGAGUGCGAAUGAGGUACGCGGAACGUGUCAUGUAGCGGUGAAAUGCAUAGAUAUGACACAGAACACCGAUUGCGAAGGCAGCGUACUGGGACGCGACUGACGCUGAGGCACGAAAGUGCGGGGAUCGAACAGGAUUAGAUACCCUGGUA